rnacentral:rRNA from 1 species
UACGUAGGGUGCAAGCGUUGUCCGGAAUUAUUGGGCGUAAAGAGCUCGUAGGCGGUCUGUCGCGUCGAAUGUGAAAACCCGGGGCUCAACCCCGGGCCUGCAUUCGAUACGGGCAGACUAGAGUUCGGUAGGGGAGUCUGGAAUUCCUGGUGUAGCGGUGAAAUGCGUAGAUAUCAGGAGGAACACCUGUGGUGUAGACAGCUUACUGGACCACUUCUGACGCUGAGACACGAAAGCGUGGGUAGCAAACAGG